rnacentral:antisense_RNA from 1 species
UUAAUAAAGGGAGAGCAGGAGAGUGGUGACGAAUUUCCACAUUCCGAACAAGCUUGUCGAAAGGGGAGUGCAGGGAAGGAGCAAGAAUGAGGCACUGGAAGACGGCUGUAGGCGCAUGAUGUCACAAGUUAUUGGAAGAAAUCCCUCCAACCUAGGUUGGGACAGAUGAAGGCGGCGCUUAUUGGUGUUCACCAAAACACCAGCAUGGUGUACCAGCUUUGGCUAGAUGAUGCUCAGAAAACCAGAGACUGGGUAAUUAAUAAAAAGAAGAAAUUGAUCUGGCCUACAGUUCUGGAGCCUUGGAAGUCCGAGAUCAAGGGGCUGCAUCUGAUAAAUACCUGGAGUGGGAUUGCUAGAUCACAUGGAAAACACAGAUCCUGGUGCCGAACAUGAGGACAGGACAGGCUGAAGGAGAAAGUGGAAGGAGGGGAGCUUCUCUCUCAGCCUCAUCCUCCUGGGCCUGGAUGCUGGAGAGUCAUGAGGUGCUUCAGAGUACUCUGGGUGAGGAGGGAAAGAUGGUGCCCACCACAUGGAGGCCAGCCUAGGUCUUGUAUGAAACCCGUGAGGCCAGCAGGAGCCAGGCCGUGGCCUGCUGACUGCAUCUGCCAG